rnacentral:rRNA from 1 species
GGGUGGUAAUGCCGGAUGCUCCAGUUGGAUGCAUGUCCUUCUGGGAAAGAUUCAUCGGUAUGGGAUGGGGUCGCGUCCUAUCAGCUUGAUGGCGGGGUAACGGCCCACCAUGGCUUCGACGGGUAGCCGGCCUGAGAGGGCGACCGGCCACAUUGGGACUGAGAUACGGCCCAGACUCCUACGGGAGGCAGCAGUGGGGAAUAUUGCACAAUGGGCGCAAGCCUGAUGCAGCGACGCCGCGUGCGGGAUGACGGCCUUCGGGUUGUAAACCGCUUUUGACUGGGAGCAAGCCCUUCGGGGUGAGUGUACCUUUCGAAUAAGCACCGGCUAACUACGUGCCAGCAGCCGCGGUAAUACGUAGGGUGCAAGCGUUAUCCGGAAUUAUUGGGCGUAAAGGGCUCGUAGGCGGUUCGUCGCGUCCGGUGUGAAAGUCCAUCGCUUAACGGUGGAUCCGCGCCGGGUACGGGCGGGCUUGAGUGCGGUAGGGGAGACUGGAAUUCCCGGUGUAACGGUGGAAUGUGUAGA